AUUGAACGCGGGCGGCAGGCCUAACACAUGCAAGUAGAGCGGAGCGGCGGACGGGUGAGUAAUGCCUAGGAAUCUGCCUGGUAGUGGGGGAGAACGUCCGGCAACGGGCGAUAAUACCGCAUAAUAUCAGAUGAGCCUAGGUCGGAUUAGCUGGUUGGUGGGGUAAAGGCCUACCAAGGCGACGAUCCGUAACUGGUAUGAGAGGAUGAUCAGUCACACUGGAACUGAGACACGGUCCAGACUCCUACGGGAGGCUGCAGUUGGGAAUAUUGGACGAUGGGCGAAAGCCUGAUCCAGCCAUGCCGCGUGUGUGAAGAAGGUCUUCGGAUUGUAAAGCACUUUAAGUUGGGAGGCGUUACCAACAGAAUAAGCACCGGCUAACUUCGUGCCAGCAGCCGCGGUAAUUC
rnacentral:rRNA from 1 species